rnacentral:other from 2 species
AAGGAACUGUGAUGUACGUGCUUCUCUUAAUGUGUUGACCUUACAAAUCAUCUAUCUAAGGGAACCGUGAACUCAUGUGGAAACUACGCCUUUUCAUGAGGAAAGUUGAAGCAUGAUAAUGGUGCCCACCUGUAAUUAACAUACGGGUUCAAUACAGAUAGACUAUACACGGCAUUAACGGUCUUCUU